UAAGUAGUCAGAGUUAAAGAAGUGUGUCAAGUCUUCAAAUUGUUGCUAACCUCUGUUGUUUUCUCCAGGUCUUUUUAAUUGGACAGCUUUGUCGCUGAUAAGCUAACUGAGUGGCGGAUGUCUGAGCUGAUUUUAGAGGUGAAGAUGAGGAGGCAUUUCUUCUCUUAGAUGAGGACACUAUCAAAACUCUUGUCCCUCAAGUUCAAUCCAGUUAUUGAAUGUUGUCAAAUGUUUGAGAGAGAAUGAGUUGUUUUUCUAUUUUUUCUAAUGUCUAAUGUUAUUACAGUGUGACCUAAGAUAAAUAGGUCUAAGUGUGUAGAGUUUAUGUAAAGUUUAAUUUAAUUUAAUGCAAUAAAAAAUGUAAAAGUG